rnacentral:rRNA from 1 species
UACGUAGGGGUGCAAGCGUUAAUUCGGAAUACUGGGCGUAAAGCGUGCGCAGGCGGUGAUGUAAGACAGGUGUGAAAUCCCCGGGCUUAACCUGGGAACUGCAUUUGUGACUGCAUCGCUGGAGUGCGGCAGAGGGGGAUGGAAUUCCGCGUGUAGCAGUGAAAUGCGUAGAUAUGCGGAGGAACACCGAUGGCGAAGGCAAUCCCCUGGGCCUGCACUGACGCUCAUGCACGAAAGCGUGGGGAGCAAACAGG